CAGUAGCCGCGGGAAUACGAAGGGGGCUAGCGUUGCUCGGAAUGACUGGGCGUAAAGGGCGCGUAGGCGGUUUUGACAGUCAGAUGUGAAAUUCCUGGGCUUAACCUGGGGGCUGCAUUUGAGACGUCAAGACUAGAGUGUGUGAGAGGGUUGUGGAAUUCCCAGUGUAGAGGUGAAAUUCGUAGAUAUUGGGAAGAACACCGGUGGCGAAGGCGGCAACCUGGCUCAUUACUGACGCUGAGGCGCGAAAGCGUGGGGAGCAAACAGGAUUAGAUACCCCCGUAGUCCCUGUCUCUUAUAC
rnacentral:rRNA from 1 species